GAAAGAUUAAAGCCCAAGCUGCUAACUUAGGACUCAAGCAAUAAAAUGUUUAUCUUUCU
rnacentral:tRNA from 1 species